GUGAGGAAUAUUGGUCAAUGGACGAGAGUCUGAACCAGCCAAGUCGCGUGAAGGAAGACGGUUCUAUGAAUUGUAAACUUCUUUUGUGCAGGAAUAAAGUGGGUUACGUGUAACCUUUUGUAUGUACUGUACGAAUAAGGAUCGGCUAACUCCGUGCCAGCAGCCGCGGUAAUACGGAGGAUCCGAGCGUUAUCCGGAUUUAUUGGGUUUAAAGGGUGCGUAGGUGGAUUGAUAAGUCAGCGGUGAAAGUUUGCAGCUUAACUGUAAAAUUGCCGUUGAAACUGUCGGUCUUGAGUGCAAAUGAGGUAGGCGGAAUGUGUUGUGUAGCGGUGAAAUGCUUAGAUAUAACACAGAACUCCGAUUGCGAAGGCAGCUUACUGGGAUGCAACUGACACUGAUGCACGAAAGCGUGGGUAUCAAACAGGAUUAGAAACCCCUGUAGUCC
rnacentral:rRNA from 1 species